GACGAACGCUGGCGGCGUGCUUAACACAUGCAAGUCGAGCGAUGAAACACCUUCGGGUGCGGAUUAGCGGCGAACGGGUGAGGAACACGUGAGGAAUCUGCCUUCCACUCUGGGAUAACUCCGGGAAACCGGGGCUAAUACCGGAUACUUUCAACUGGCGGCAUCGCCGGUUGAAGAAAGUUUUUCGGUGGAAGAUGACCUCGCGGCCUAUCAGCUUGUUGGUGAGGUAAAGGCUCACCAAGGCGACGACGGGUAGCCGGCCUGAGAGGGCGACCGGCCACACUGGAACUGAGACACGGCCCAGACUCCUACGGGAGGCAGCAGUGGGGAAUAUUGGGCAAUGGAGGAAACUCUGACCCAGCGACGCCGCGUGAGGGAUGAAGGCCUUCGGAUUGUAAACCUCUUUCAGCAGGGAAUAAGCGAAAGUGAAGGUACCUGCAGAAGAAGCACCGGCUAACUAUGUGCCAGCAGCCGCGGUAA
rnacentral:rRNA from 1 species